AAAGUUCAAAAGUUUGUGAACUAUUUUUCUUAUCUUUUCAGACCAUAUGUAUUUCUGGUAAUUUCGGAGUCCUCCUAAAUAACCCUGUGGCUACUGGAAGUUCCGGUGAUUAGAUAAGCAGAGUGAAAUAUUGAGUUAGAGAUUGUAUGUGUCACCUGUAGGGCAGAUCAGACACAGGGCUGAAAUAUCCCUAAAACAUGUAGGAAACACAUACCCAAUGCCCUUCCUGGAACGUCCGGUGAUGUCUGGAUAAUGGUAAAACGUUGUCCUCUGUCAGCCACAGAAAAACAACGCAAAGGUAAGGAGGUAAACUAAACUUGAAGAAGAGACACAGGUAUGAUGAAAAGCUUGCAAUCUAAAUCUAGUGAGCCGAUCAGCAUACGUCCCUUGUUCAGGUUUCCCUGGACUGAAUAAGGAAGGGAAAGACAUGACUGCUGCCCAGGGAGGGGGGAUGGACAUAAAGGGAUACAUAUGUAGCAAUAAG